UAAGGACAAGCUGUGAUGGGGAGCGAAAUUUAGUAGCGAAGUUCCUGAUGUCACACUGCCAAGAAAAGCUUCUAGUGAGAAAGUAACUGCCCGUACCGCAAACCGACACAGGUAGUUGAGGAGAGAAUCCUAAGGUGUGCGAGAGAACUCUCGUUAAGGAACUCGGCAAAAUGACCCCGUAACUUCGGGAGAGGGGGUGCUGACCGCAAGGUCAGCCGCAGUGAAUAGGCCCAAGCGACUGUUUAUCAAAAACACAGGUCUCUGCAAAAUCGAAAGAUGACGUAUAGGGGCUGACGCCUGCCCGGUGCUGGAAGGUUAAGAGGAGAGGUUAGCGCAAGCGAAGCUUUGAAUUGAAGCCCCAGUAAACGGCGGCCGUAACGAUAACGGUCCUAAGGUAGCGAAAUUCCUUGUCGGGUAAGUUCCGACCCGCACGUAAGGCGUAACGAUUUGGGCACUGUCUCAACGAGAGACUCGGUGAAAUUAUAGUACCAGUGAAGAUGCUGGUUACCCGCGACAGGACGGAAAGACCCCAUGGAGCUUUACUGCAGUUUGAUAUUGCGUGUUUGUAUCACAUGUACAGGAUAGGUAGGAGCCGAAGAUACCGGGACGCCAGUCUCGGAGAAGGCAACGGUGGGAUACUACCCUUGUGAUAUGACCACUCUAACCCGCUGCUCUUAGCGAGCAGGGAGACAGUGUCAGACGGGCAGUUUGACUGGGGCGGUCGCCUCCAAAAAUGUAACGGAGGCGCCCAAAGGUUCCCUCAGAAUGGUUGGAAAUCAUUCGUAGAGUGUAAAGGCAGAAGGGAGCUUGACUGCGAGACCUACAAGUCGAGCAGGGACGAAAGUCGGGCUUAGUGAUCCGGUGGUUCCGCAUGGAAGGGCCAUCGCUCAACGGAUAAAAGCUACCCUGGGGAUAACAGGCUUAUCUCCCCCAAGAGUUCACAUCGACGGGGAGGUUUGGCACCUCGAUGUCGGCUCAUCGCAUCCUGGGGCUGUAGUCGGUCCCAAGGGUUGGGCUGUUCGCCCAUUAAAGCGGUACGCGAGCUGGGUUCAGAACGUCGUGAGACAGUUCGGUCCCUAUCCGUCGCGGGCGUUGGAAAUUUGAGAGGAGCUGUCCUUAGUACGAGAGGACCGGGAUGGACACACCGCUGGUGUACCAGUUGUUCUGCCAAGAGCAUCGCUGGGUAGCUAUGUGUGGACGGGAUAAACGCUGAAAGCAUCUAAGCGUGAAGCCCCCCUCAAGAUGAGAUUUCCCAUCACUUUAAGUGAGUAAGACCCCUGAGAGAUGAUCAGGUAGAUAGGUUGGGAGUGGAAGUACAGCGAUGUAUGGAGCGGACCAAUACUAAUCGGUCGAGGACUUAACC
rnacentral:rRNA from 1 species